GAUGAACGCUGGCGGCGUGCCUAAUACAUGCAAGUCGAGCGAACAGAUGAGGAGCUUGCUCCUCUGACGUUAGCGGCGGACGGGUGAGUAACACGUGGAUAACCUACCUAUAAGACUGGGAUAACUUCGGGAAACCGGAGCUAAUACCGGAUAAUAUAUUGAACCGCAUGGUUCAAUAGUGAAAGACGGUUUUGCUGUCACUUAUAGAUGGAUCCGCGCCGCAUUAGCUAGUUGGUAAGGUAACGGCUUACCAAGGCAACGAUGCGUAGCCGACCUGAGAGGGUGAUCGGCCACACUGGAACUGAGACACGGUCCAGGCUCCUACGAGAGGCAGCAGUAGGGAAUCUUCCGCAGUGGGCGAAAGCCUGACGGAGCAACGCCGCGUGAGUGAUGAAGGUCUUCGGAUCGUAAAACUCUGUUAUUAGGGAAGAACAAAUGUGUAAGUAACUAUGCACGUCUUGACGGUACCUAAUCAGAAAGCCACGGCUAACUACGUG
rnacentral:rRNA from 1 species